CUAAUCUUUUUUAGCCUUAAUGAUCACGAGGAAGGUUCAGCAAAAGUAGGUGUUUGCGAAAUGACUGACAAACCUGCUAAAUACCGUCACCCUUCUAACCCGAGAAUCUUCUUCUGGGAUGUACCCGGCAUCGGAACACCACGAUACCCAAAUAUUGAAGCAUACUGCGACGAAAUCGAUCUAGAAAUGUACGACGCCUUUCUUUUUGUCAGCAAUAAACGAUUCACGGCUUAUGACUUGCAGUUAGUUGAAAAAGCCAAAUCCAUUGAGAAGCCAUUCUUUUUUAUCCGCUCACAGAUUGAUUCUGAUCUAGAUAAUGAGCGCAAAAGCAGAGAAAGAGGUGGGCUGGAAUUCAAUAAAGAACAACUGUUGGCAGCAGUGGAAAAGAUGAGAGAUAAUUGUUUUACAAAUUUGCAAUCGUUGUCAACAAAAAAAAAUGGUAUGAAAAAAAAUGAUGUCUUCGUUAUUGAUAGUUAUUCUCCAGAGAAAUGGGACUUUAAUCGUUUGGUCGCUGGUAUCACCGAUGCGCUGCCUGAACGAAGAAGAGAGUGUUUCACACUUUCUUUAACAAACCUAACACGUGAAUGCUUGAAAAGAAAAGCCAAAGUGCUUAGAG